rnacentral:tRNA from 1 species
GGAGCGGUAGUUCAGCUGGUUAGAUUGCUGGCCUGUCACGCCGGAGGUCGCGGGUUCGAGUCCCGUCCGCUCCGCCA